GUGCUCACUUCGGCAGUACAGUAUAAUAAAAUUAGAAUGACGCAGAGAAGAUCAGCAUGGCUCUGAAGCAGGGUGACAUGCAAAUUCUUGAACUAUUCCAUAUUUUC